rnacentral:SRP_RNA from 1 species
GCUGGGCAUGGUGGCUCAUGCCUGUAAUCCCAACACUUUGGGAGGCCGAGGUGGGCGGAUCACCUGAGGUCAGGAGUUCGAGACCAGCCUGGCCAACAUGGUGAAACCCCGUCUCUA